CGUAGGGUGCAGGCGUUAAUCGGAAUUACUGGGCGUAAAGCGUGCGCAGGCGGUCUGCUAAGAGAGGUGUGAAAUCCCCCGGGCUUAACCUGGGAACUGCGCUUCUAACUGGCAGGCUUGAGUGUGGCAGAGGGGGGUGGAAUUCCACGUGUAGCAGUGAAAUGCGUAGAGAUGUGGAGGAACACCGAUGGCGAAGGCAGCCCCCUGGGCUAACACUGACGCUCAUGCACGAAAGCGUGGGGAGCAAACAGGAUUAGAUACCCUGGUAGUCCACGCCCUAAACUAUGUCAACUGGUUGUCGGGGGAAGCAAUUCCUUGGUAACGAAGCUAACGCGUGAAGUUGACCGCCUGGGGGAGUACGGCCGCAAGGUUA
rnacentral:rRNA from 1 species